rnacentral:rRNA from 1 species
CCUACGGGCGGCAGCAGUGGGGAAUAUUGCACAAUGGGGGCAACCCUGAUGCAGCGACGCCGCGUGAGUGAAGAAGUAAUUCGUUAUUUAAAGCUCUAUCAGCAGGGAAGAAAAUUACAGUACCUAAGUUACAAGCCCCGUCUAACUACGUUCCAGCAGCCGCGGUAAUACGUAGGGGGCAAGCGUUAUCCGGAUUUACUGGGUGUAAAGGGAGAGUAGACGGCAGUGCAAGUCUGGAGUGAAAGGCUGGGGCUCAACCCCCGGACUGCUGUGGAAACUGUACGGCUGGAGUGCAGGAGAGGUAAGUGGAAUUCCUAGUGUAGCGGUGAAAUGCAUAGAUAUCACAAAGAACACCGAUUGCGAAGGCAGCUCACGAAUCCGCGAUUGACGCUGAUGCACGAAAGCGUGGGUAUCAAACAGGAUUAGAUACCCUAGUAGUC